rnacentral:rRNA from 1 species
GGAUGAACGCUGGCGGCGUGUCUAAGGCAUGCAAGUCGAACGCUCCGAUUUAUCGGAGAGUGGCAAACGGGAGAGUAACACAUUGGUAACCUACCCCUGACUCGGGUAUAACUUCACGAAAGUGGAGCUAAUCCCCGAUGGUCUCUGCUAAUAUAAAUUAGUAGAGUAAAACCCCGGUGGUCAGGGAGGGGCCUAUGGCCUAUCAGCUUGUUGGUAAGGUAAAAGCUUACCAAGGCAACGACGGGUAGCGGGUGUGAGAGCAUGACCCGUCUCAUUGGGACUGAGACACUGCCCAAACUCCUACGGGAGGCUGCAGUCAAGAAUCUUGCGCAAUGGACGAAAGUCUGACGCAGCGACGCCGCGUGAUUGAAGAAGCCCUUCGGGGUGUAAAGAUCUUUUACCAAGGACGAAUUUUUGACGGUACUUGGUGAAUAAGGGGCUGCUAAACUCGUGCCAGCAGCAGCGGUAAUACGAGUGCCCCAAGCGUUAUCCGGAUUUAUUGGGCGUAAAGCGUCUGUAGGCGUCUUGAAAAGUUUUUCGUUAAAUCUUAGUGCUCAACACUAAAACCGCGAAAAAAACUUUCAGGAUAGAGGCCGGAAGAGGCAGAUGGAAUUGCCGGUGUAGGGGUCAAAUCCGUUAAUAUCGGCAAGAACACCAAAUGCGAAGGCUUUCUGCUAGAACGGUUCUGACGCUGAGAGACGAAAGCGUGGGUAGCGAAUGGGAUUAGAUACCCCAGUAGUCCACGCCGUAAACGAUGGAUGCUUGACAUUGGCAGUAUCGACCCUGUCAGUGUCGUUCAAUCAAGCUAACGCCUUAAGCAUCCCGCCUGGGGAGUACGGCCGCAAGGCUAAAACUCAAAGGAAUUGACGGGGACCCGCACAAGCGGUGGAGCAUGCGGUUCAAUUCAUAUUAAGCGAGGAACCUUACCAAGGCUUGACAUCUAGCUGCAAAUCCCGGGAAACCGGGACUCCUUCGAGGGUGCUAGACAGGUGCUGCAUGGUUGUCGUCAGCUCGUGCCGUGAGGUGUACCGUUAAGUCGGGUAACGAGCGCAACCCCUACUCUGUGUUAAAUCAUUCACAGGGAACUAUCUCGGAUAACGAGGAGGAAGGUGGGGACGACGUCAAAUCAGCAUGGCUCUUACGCCUUGGGCGACACGCGUGCUACAAUGGUCAGUACAAUGGGUAGCUAAGCGGUAACGUGGAGCCAAUCUCAUCAAAACUGAUCUAAGUUCGGAUUGAGGUCUGCAACUCGACCUCAUGAAGCUGGAAUCGCUAGUAACCGCGUAUCAGCCAUGGCGCGGUGAAUACGUUCUCGGGUCUUGUACACACCGCCCGUCACAUCAAGAGAGUCUUCAGUGCCCAAAUGCUGUUGUAUAAUGGCAAAAGGUAAGGGAGAUGAUAAGGAUGAAGUCGUAACAAGGCA